rnacentral:rRNA from 1 species
UACGUAGGGGGCAAGCGUUGUCCGGAUUUAUUGGGCGUAAAGCGCGUGUAGGCGGCCAGAUAGGUCUGCUGUGAAAACUUGAGGCUCAACCUCGAGCUGUCGGCGGAAACCAUCUAGGCUAGAGUCCGGAAGAGGAGAGUGGAAUUCCUGGUGUAGCGGUGAAAUGCGCAGAUAUCAGGAAGAACACCCGUGGCUAAGGCGGCUCUCUAGUACGGUACUGACGCUGAGACGCGAAAGCGUGGGGAGCGAACAGG